AGUGAACGCUGGCGGCGUGCCUAACACAUGCAAGUCGAACGGACGAAGAGAGCUUGCUCUCCUAGUUAGUGGCGCACGGGUGAGUAACACGUAGCUAACCUGCCCCAUAGUACGGGACAACAGUUGGAAACGACUGCUAAUACCUUAUACUCCUUCUCUACCUAAGUAGAGUCGGGAAAGUUUUUUCGCUAUGGGAUGGGGCUGCGGCCUAUCAGCUUGUUGGGGAGGUAAUGGCUCACCAAGGCGACGACGGGUAGCCGGCCUGAGAGGGUGACCGGCCACACUGGGACUGAGAUACGGCCCAGACUCCUACGGGAGGCAGCAGUGGGGAAUAUUGCACAAUGGGCGCAAGCCUGAUGCAGCGACGCCGCGUGAGGGAUGACGGCCUUCGGGUUGUAAACCUCUUUCAGCACCGACGAAGCGCAAGUGACGGUAGGUGCAGAAGAAGGACCGGCCAACUACGUGCCAGCAGCCGCCGUAA
rnacentral:rRNA from 1 species